rnacentral:rRNA from 1 species
UACGAAGGGGGCUAGCGUUGCUCGGAAUCACUGGGCGUAAAGGGUGCGUAGGCGGGUCUUUAAGUCAGGGGUGAAAUCCUGGAGCUCAACUCCAGAACUGCCUUUGAUACUGAGGAUCUUGAGUUCGGGAGAGGUGAGUGGAACUGCGAGUGUAGAGGUGAAAUUCGUAGAUAUUCGCAAGAACACCCGUGGCGAAGGCGGCUCUCUGGGACGGUACUGACGCUGAGACGCGAAAGCCAGGGGAGCGAACGGG